CUACGGGAUGCAGCAGUGGGGAAUAUUGGACAAUGGGGGAAACCCUGAUCCAGCAAUGCCGCGUGUGUGAAGAAGGCCUGCGGGUUGUAAAGCACUUUCGGUUGGGAGGACUGCUUCUAGCACUAAUAUUGUUGGAAGUUGACGUUAUCUUCAGAAGAAGCACCGGCUAACUCCGCGCCAGCAGCCGCGGUAAUACGGAGGGUGCAAGCGUGUAAUCGGAAUUACUGGGCGUAAAGCGCGCGUAGGCGGCUAGAUCAGUCGGGUGUGAAAGCCCCGGGCCUAACCUGGGAACUGCAUCCGAUACUGUCUAGCUUGAGUACAGGAGAGGAGAGUGGAAUUCCACAUGUAGCGGUGAAAUGCGUAGAUAUGUGGAGGAACACCAAUGGCGAAGGCAGCUCUCUGGCCUGAUACUGACGCUGAGGUGCGAAAGCGUGGGGAGCAAACAGGAUUAGAUACCCGGGUAGUC
rnacentral:rRNA from 1 species